rnacentral:rRNA from 1 species
UGCGUAGGCGGCGGCACAAGUCAGGUGUGAAAUCCCCCGGCUCAACCGGGGAACAGCGCUUGAAACUAGGUCGCUCGAGUGAGGUAGGGGUGUAUGGAACUUCCGGUGGAGCGGUGAAAUGUGUAGAUAUCGGAAGGAACGCCGGCGGCGAAAGCGGUACACUGGGCCUUGUCUGACGCUGAGGCACGAAAGCUAGGGAAGUGAACG